UUGAACGCUGGCGGCAUGCCUUACACAUGCAAGUCGAACGGUAGAGGGGCAACCCUUGAGAGUGGCGAACGGGUGAGUAAUAUAUCGGAACGUGCCCAGUCGUGGGGGAUAACGCAGCGAAAGCUGCGCUAAUACCGCAUACGAUCUAUGGAUGAAAGCGGGGGAUCGCAAGACCUCGCGCGAUUGGAGCGGCCGAUAUCAGAUUAGGUAGUUGGUGGGGUAAAAGCCCACCAAGCCGACG
rnacentral:rRNA from 1 species